UGAGGAAUUUUCCGCAAUGGACGCAAGUCUGACGGAGCAACGCCGCGUGCAGGAGGACGGUCUUCGGAUCGUAAACUGCUUUUCCCAGGGACGAGCAAGGACGGUACCUGGGGAACAAGCCCCGGCUAACUACGUGCCAGCAGCCGCGGUAAUACGUAGGGGGCAAGCGUUGUCCGGAGUUACUGGGCGUAAAGCGCCCGCAGGCGGUCGUCGCAGUUCGCGGUGACAGCGCUCGGCUCAACCGAGCGAGGACCGAGAAGACGCGCCGACUUGAGGGCCAGAGAGGGACAUGGAACUCCGGGUGGAGUGGUGAAAUGCGUAGAGAUCCGGAAGAACACCAAAGGCGAAGGCAGUGUCCUGGUUGGCACCUGACGCUCAGGGGCGAAAGCGAGGGGAGCGAACGGGAUUAGAUACCCCCGUAGUCC
rnacentral:rRNA from 1 species